AUUGAACGCUGGCGGCAGGCCUAACACAUGCAAGUCGAACGGUAACAGGAAGCAGCUUGCUGCUUUGCUGACGAGUGGCGGACGGGUGAGUAAUGUCUGGGAAACUGCCUGAUGGAGGGGGAUAACUACUGGAAACGGUAGCUAAUACCGCAUAACGUCGCAAGACCAAAGAGGGGGACCUUCGGGCCUCUUGCCAUCGGAUGUGCCCAGAUGGGAUUAGCUAGUAGGUGGGGUAACGGCUCACCUAGGCGACGAUCCCUAGCUGGUCUGAGAGGAUGACCAGCCACACUGGAACUGAGACACGGUCCAGACUCCUACGGGAGGCAGCAGUGGGGGAUAUUGCACAAUGGGCGCAAGCCUGAUGCAGCCAUGCCGCGUGUAUGAAGAAGGCCUUCGGGUUGUAAAGUACUUUCAGCGGGGAGGAAGGGAGUAAAGUUAAUACCUUUGCUCAUUGACGUUACCCGCAGAAGAAGCACCGGCUAACUCCGUG
rnacentral:rRNA from 1 species